CAGGAAGUGGGAGCCACAUACCCCGAGCUGGCGGCUUGAGCCUGUGGUAUCUAGGCUCACCUCACUGCGGUUGGUGGAGGUGAUGGAGGUUGCAGCUUGGCCAGCAUGGUAGAAAGGUGGCAGGGUAGGCACGUCUGGCUUUUACCACCCAGUUGCUUCGAGCCAGGAGAUGGAGGAGUCAUCUGUUGCACGCUGGAGGCUGGAGCCUGCAGAUGGCAUGGUUCUGUGGCUCACCUCGCUGCAGUUGGUGGCAGAGACAGAGACUGCAGCUUGACCAGAGUGGUGGAGUGGUUGGAGUGCAGUGGCAUGAUCUUGACUCACUGCAACCUCCACCUCCCGGGUUCAAGCCAUUCUCUUCCCUCAGCCUCCUCAGUAGCUGGAUUACAGGUACCUCCCACCACACCCAGGUAACUUUUUUGUGUUUUUUAGCAGAG
rnacentral:lncRNA from 1 species